rnacentral:lncRNA from 1 species
CUCUUAUGAAUUUUAAGGCAUUGUAUAAAUCAAUAUUUUUAUCCCUUUGGCUUUAUGAAAAAAAAUCUAUUUUUUCAAUUCUUCCCUUGGCCGAUUAAAUGUAAUGGCAAAAGUUAACAAAAUGAUAUUCACUCGAGUAUUUUUAAAACAUAUACCAGUUUUUUUAAAAUUACUUUUCAGAUUUUUUAAUCUUUCAAUUCUGCAACUUCUAUAUCUCUGUUUAAAUUUAAAAAUAAAAAUAUAUUUCCCAUUCUUUGAUGUGUUUAUAUAAUUCUUUUGAGUUCUGUAAGAAGUGUCGGACAUCAUUUUUAAAGGCCUUUGUUUAUAGUAGUAUUUUUUUUUAUUAAACAAAUACAAAAACAACCAAAACUCAUAGCAUAAAUAAGGUAUGUUCAGCGUCUCAUGAAUAGAUCAAAAUUCUCACAUGACUUGAUCUUUUAUAUAAGAAAAUAUAAUCACGUGAUUGCAAUUGGAUUGUUUACUCCUAACACCAAUUUUUUUAUGGAAAUAACACUGCUAGACUGCUAGUUCUUUUGAAUUAUAUAAGAAUUUGUACAAACUUUAUUCAAACAUUUGUUUAAGUACUUUAUUUAACCUUAGCCUUUCUCAAACGCACUCAAAUUGAGUUAGCUUGCAUUGUGUGAAAUCUUAUUGGAUUGAAUAAGAAGUUGCAAAUGCAGCAGAGAAAGCAAAAUUAGAAAAGAUAGAAUAAUGCGUUCUAUGUUCUGUCAUUUUGUAUAUUUGAUUUGACUUCCUCUCACUCUAUUUUAUUCUUCUUUUUAAUUUGAAUAAUUAUU